rnacentral:rRNA from 1 species
GACGAACGCUGGCGGCGUGCUUAACACAUGCAAGUCGAACGGAACUAAUUGGAAAGAGGCUUCGGCCAAUGGAAUUUUAGUUUAGUGGCGGACGGGUGAGUAACGCGUGAGGAACCUGCCUUUCAGAGGGGGACAACAGUUGGAAACGACUGCUAAUACCGCAUGAUGCGUAGAGAUCGCAUGGUCUUUACGCCAAAGAUUUAUCGCUGAAAGAUGGCCUCGCGUCUGACUAGCUAGUUGGUGAGGUAACGGCCAACCAAGGCGACGCUCAGUAGAAGGACUGAGCGAUUGACCGGCCACAUUGGGACAGAGAGACGGCCCAGACUCCUACGGGAGGCAGCAGUGGAGAAUAUUGGGCAAUGGGCGCAAGCCUGACCCAGCAACGUCGCGUGAAGGAAGAAGGCUUUCGGGUUGUAAACUUCUUUUAGGAGGGAAGAGUAGAAGACGGUACCUCUUGAAUAAGCCACGGCUAACUACGUGCCAGCCGCCGCGGUAACAC